GAGCGGCGAACGGGUGAGUAACACGUGAGCAACCUGCCCUCAGCUCUGGGAUAGCUCCCGGAAACGGGAAUUAAUACCGGAUAUGACCCUGACCGACAUCUGUCAGGGUGGAAAGUUUUUCGGCUGAGGAUGGACUCGCGGCCUAUCAGCUAGUUGGUGGGGUAACGGCCCACCAAGGCGACGACGGGUAGCCGGCCUGAGAGGGCGACCGGCCACACUGGGACUGAGACACGGCCCAGACUCCUGCGGGAGGCAGCAGUGGGGAAUAUUGCGCAAUGGGCGAAAGCCUGACGCAGCGACGCCGCGUGGGGGAUGAAGGCCUUCGGGUUGUAAACCCCUUUCAGCAGGGACGAAGCGAGAGUGACGGUACCUGCAGAAGAAGCGCCGGCUAACUACGUGCCAGCAGCCGCGGUAACACGUAGGGCGCAAGCGUUGUCCGGAAUUAUUGGGCGUAAAGAGCUCGUAGGCGGUCUGUUGCGUCCGCUGUGAAAACCCUGGGCUUAACCCUGGGCUUGCAGUGGAUACGGACAGACUAGAGGUAGGUAGGGGAGAAUGGAAUUCCCGGUGUAGCGGUGAAAUGCGCAGAUAUCGGGAGGAACACCGGUGGCGAAGGCGGUUCUCUGGGCCUUACC
rnacentral:rRNA from 1 species